rnacentral:rRNA from 1 species
GUAGGUGGCAAGCGUUGUCCGGAAUUAUUGGGCGUAAAGCGCGCGCAGGCGGUUCUUUAAGUCUGAUGUGAAAGCCCACGGCUCAACCGUGGAGGGUCAUUGGAAACUGGAGAACUUGAGUACAGAAGAGGAAAGCGGAAUUCCACGUGUAGCGGUGAAAUGCGUAGAGAUGUGGAGGAACACCAGUGGCGAAGGCGGCUUUCUGGUCUGUAACUGACGCAGAGGCGCGAAAGCGUGGGGGAGCAAACAGGAUUAGAUACCCUGGUAGUCCACGCCGUAAACGAUGAGUGCUAAGUGUUAGGGGGUUUCCGCCCCUUAGUGCUGCAGCUAACGCAUUAAGCACUCCGCCUGGGAGUACGGCCGCAAGGCUG